rnacentral:rRNA from 1 species
UGCAACUCGACUACAUGAAGCUGGAAUCGCUAGUAAUCGCGGAUCAGAAUGCCGCGGUGAAUACGUUCCCGGGUCUUGUACACACCGCCCGUCACACCAUGGGAGUCAGUAACGCCCGAAGCCGGUGACCCAACCUGAUCAGGAGGGAGCCGUCGAAGGCGGGACGGAUGACUGGGGUGAAGUCGUAACAAGGUAAC